AGCCCUCCACGGGGGUUUCCAAGUUCCUGCUGCAGGUUCUCCCGGUUCGCAGUUCCACAGCUUUCCAACUUUCCUUCCGACGCCAAAAUAUGUAUCGUCGCUAGACGUUUCCUUGCAUCCAUUUUAUGCACUUUCAAUAGACAGCUGUGAACAAGCCAAAACUUUUGAAAAUUCACAAGUGGAAGCGGAAAAAAAAUUAACCACGAUUUCCAAGUCACGUGCCUGAUGGUUGGCAUCUCGAAAAGCUUGCGGCGGUAUAGUUGUCGUCAGGAGAGAAGAAAAAG
rnacentral:misc_RNA from 1 species